UGAAUACGAGAUGCUACGGCGUCGAAGCAGUCUAUGUCAUACUUCCAAGAAAAGCUUGCACUGUCAUAAACAAAUAAUGCCUGUACCAUAACCGACACAGGUGGGUAGGUAGAGUAUACUAAGGGGCGCGAGAUAACUCUCUCUAAGGAACUCGGCAAAAUGACUCCGUAACUUCGGGAGAAGGAGUGCCUUAUUUAUAAGGUUGCAAUAACAAGAUCCAAGCAACUGUUUACCAAAAACACAGGUCUCCGCUAAGUCGUAAGACGAUGUAUGGGGGCUGACGCCUGCCCAGUGCCAGAAGGUUAAAGAAGUUGGUUAGCAUCCGCGAAGCUGAUAACUGAAGCCCUGGUGAACGGCGGCCGUAACUAUAACGGUCCUAAGGUAGCGAAAUUCCUUGUCGGGUAAGUUCCGACCCGCACGAAAGGCGUAAUGAUUUGGAUACUGUCUCGGAGAGGGGCUCGGUGAAAUAGACUUGUCUGUGAAGAUGCGGACUACCUGCACCAGGACAGAAAGACCCUAUGAAGCUUUACUGUAACCUGAAAUUGAAAUUGGACUUUACUUGCGCAGUAUAGGUGGGAGGCGUUGAGAAUAUUCUUGCGGGAUUAUUGGAGCCAUCAGUGGGAUAGCACUCUUGUAAUGUUAGAUUUCUAACUUUGUAUCAUUAUCUGGUCAAAGAACAGUUUCAGGCGGGCAGUUUGACUGGGGCGGUCGCCUCCUAAACGGUAACGGAGGCGCACAAAGGUUUCCUCUGAACGGGUAGAAAUCGUAUCUAGAGUGUAAAGGCAUAAGGAAGCUUGACUGUGAGACCUACAAGUCGAGCAGGGACGAAAGUCGGUCUUAGUGAUCUGACGGUGCUGAGUGGAAAGGCCGUCACUCAACGGAUAAAAGUUACUCUAGGAUAACAGGCUGAUCUCCCCCAAGAGUUCACAUCGACGGGGAGGUUUGGCACCUCGAUGUCGGCUCAUCGCAUCCUGGGGCGGUAGUACGUCCCAAGGGUUGGGCUGUUCGCCCAUGAAAGCGGUACGCGAGCUGGGUUCAGAACGUCGUGAGACAGUUCGGUCCAUAUCCGGUGUAGGCGUUAGAAUAUUGAGAGGAGCCUUCUUUAGUACGAGAGGACCGAGAAGGACAUACCUCUGGUGUACCAGUUAUCGUGCCAACGGUAAACGCUGGGUAGCUAUGUGUGGAGUGGAUAACCGCUGAAAGCAUCUAAGUGGGAAGCCCACCUCAAGAUAAGUAUUCUC
rnacentral:rRNA from 1 species